UGUAGCCGGUACCAAUUCUGGGUCAAGACCUAGAUACAUUGAUAUAACUGUCCCGCUAUUGAUGGCGCUUUGUCAUUUUACGCUGGGCAGUGUCGAUAUCCGCCGGGCCGCUCCGACUUUCACGGUCCCUGUGUAUGUGCAUCUCUAAUUGUGAUCUGAGAUUUCGAUUGCAAGACUUCAGCGGCAACGACAGAAAAGGAAAAUAGUGUCAUAACCUGGCCAGUUCAUCACCACCGCAAUGGUGAGAAUAGGAAAGACGCUACUCGUUAUGGCGACAAUGGUUGCCGCCAUAGCAGCAGAGGGCUACUAUUACAACGGACGAAAUGGAGGACAUGGUGGAGGUAAUAGCGGCCAGGGAGGACAUGGCGGUUACGGAUAUAAGCCGUCAUAUUACUACGGCUACCUUCACAAACACACGACGACGACGCACUCGCCAUACGUCUACUUCAAGAGACACACCAUUCCUUACGAAGACCUGUACGAA